UUUGGGCAAGAGUUUAUCCCAAAGUCAUUUGAUCAUAGACCAGUUGCCAAAGGAGAUCGAAAGGUGGUAACAGCUUGGGGAUGGUUCUGGAACAGAAGUCCCCCAGUGAGGGCCCUGCCUGAUCCAACACCACGUGACUAUUUCCAUCAGAUGAGAUGACAGAGGGGCUUGCGUCUUCCCUUGCUCCCUCUGCAUCUUGGAGUUGAGGACCAUGAGGUGCCACUGUGGGGAGAUGAAUACCAGCCAUCAGCAGCCUCCGCCUCUGCCAGCAAGUCAAGGGGUGAGCGAGCAGCCACUGAGAAUCACAGGUGCAGAGUCACCAGGCAGUUCCUUGAGAAAGAGGAGUCAAAUCCAAAAAGGACAUUAGUUGAGACUCUGAAGACCAUCCCUAUUUUGGGAAAGCUCAAGAUGGGUGGCAGCAGGACCCUGGUUCCCAUUAAGGAGGCCUGAGUUUCCAGCUGCUCUGCUCCCAUUGCAGCAAGGCAAUGGACAUUUGAAUAAGGGAAUCAAGAACCCUGCACAGCACUCCUGUUCUGGGGCCCAGGACAUUGACUACAAAGAGUGAAGAUUUUAAGUGUUGAGGGACUAGAGACACUGUGAGUGAGAAAACCAGUUUUCUUUUGGAUAUUCAUCUGAAG